rnacentral:tRNA from 1 species
GGCGGUGUAGCUCAGUGGUAGAGUGAGUGCUUUGCAUGCACGAGGUCCUGGGUUCAAGCCCCUGGCACCUCCA